rnacentral:rRNA from 1 species
UUGGGUAGGGGAGCGUUCUGUAAGCGGAUGAAGGUGAAUCGAGAGGUUUGCUGGACGUAUCAGAAGUGCGAAUGCUGACAUAAGUAACGAUAAAACGAGUGAAAAACUCGUUCGCCGGAAGAUCAAGGUUUCCUGUCCAACGUUAAUCGGGGCAGGGUGAGUCGACCCCUAAGGCAAGGCUGAAAAGCGUAGUCGAUGGGAAACGGGUUAAUAUUCCCGUACUUGUAAUAACUGCGAUGUGGGGACGGAGAAGGUUAGGUUAUCAGGGUAUUGGAUAUCCCUGUUUAAGCCGGUAGGUGGGAAUUCUAGGCAAAUCCGGAAUUCUGAAUAACACCGAGAAGUGAUGACGAGGCUCUAAGGAGCUGAAGUAACUGAUACCACGCUUCCAGGAAAAGCCACUAAGCAUAGGUUAUUAUAAAUCGUACUGUAAACCGACACAGGUGAUCAGGUAGAGAAUACUCAGGCGCUUGAGAGAACUCGGGUGAAGGAACUAGGCAAAAUAGCACCGUAACUUCGGGAGAAGGUGCGCCGGCGUAGAUUGUAGCCCUUUACGGGUGAAGGUUGAACCGGUCGAAGAUACCAGCUGGCUGCAACUGUUUAUUAAAAACACAGCACUCUGCAAACACGAAAGUGGACGUAUAGGGUGUGAUGCCUGCCCGGUGCUGGAAGGUUAAUUGAUGAUGUAAUCGAAAGAGAAGCUUCUGAUAGAAGCCCCAGUAAACGGCGGCCGUAACUAUAACGGUCCUAAGGUAGCGAAAUUCCUUGUCGGGUAAGUUCCGACCUGCACGAAUGGCAUAAUGAUGGCCAGGCUGUCUCCACCCGAGACUCAGUGAAAUUGAAAUCGCCGUGAAGAUGCGGUGUACCCGCGGCUAGACGGAAAGACCCCGUGAACCUUUACUAUAGCUUGACACUGAACCUUGAAUUUUAAUGUGUAGGAUAGGUGGGAGACUUAGAAGCAGUAACGCCAGUUAUUGUGGAGUCAACCUUGAAAUACCACCCUUUAACGUUUGAUGUUCUAACGAAGCGCCCGAAACGGGUGUUCGGACAGUGUCUGGUGGGUAGUUUGACUGGGGCGGUCUCCUCCCAAAGAGUAACGGAGGAGUACGAAGGUUUGCUAAUCACGGUCGGACAUCGUGAGGUUAGUACAAUGGUAUAAGCAAGCUUGACUGCGAGACGGACAUGUCGAGCAGGUACGAAAGUAGGUCAUAGUGAUCCGGUGGUUCUGAAUGGAAGGGCCAUCGCUCAACGGAUAAAAGGUACUCCGGGGAUAACAGGCUGAUACCGCCCAAGAGUUCAUAUCGACGGCGGUGUUUGGCACCUCGAUGUCGGCUCAUCACAUCCUGGGGCUGAAGUAGGUCCCAAGGGUAUGGCUGUUCGCCAUUUAAAGUGGUACGCGAGCUGGGUUUAGAACGUCGUGAGACAGUUCGGUCCCUAUCUGCCGUGGGCGUUGGAGAAUUGAAAGGGGCUGCUCCUAGUACGAGAGGACCGGAGUGGACGCAUCACUGGUGUUCCAGUUGUUUCGCCAGAAGCAUUGCUGGGUAGCUACAUGCGGAAUAGAUAAGUGCUGAAAGCAUCUAAGCACGAAACUAGCCUUGAGAUGAGUUCUCCCAAUCUAUAAGAUUGUAAGGGUUGUUUGAGACUAAGACGUAGAUAGGCAGGGUGUGUAAGCGUUGUGAGACGUUGAGCUAACCUGUACUAAUUGCCCGAGAGACUUAACCAU